rnacentral:rRNA from 1 species
CGUAGGGUGCGAGCGUUAAUCGAAAUUACUGGGCGUAAAGCGUGCGCAGGCGGUUUUGUAAGACAGGCGUGAAAUCCCCGGGCUCAACCUGGGAACUGCGCUUGUGACUGCAAGGCUAGAGUACGGCAGAGGGGGGUGGAAUUCCACGUGUAGCAGUGAAAUGCGUAGAGAUGUGGAGGAACACCAAUGGCGAAGGCAGCCCCCUGGGUCGAUACUGACGCUCAUGCACGAAAGCGUGGGUAGCAAACAGGAUUAGAUACCCUGGUAGUCCACGCCCUAAACGAUGUCAACUAGGUGUUGGGUGGGUAAAACCAUUUAGUACCGGAGCUAACGCGUGAAGUUGACCGCCUGGGGAGUACGGCCGCAAGGUUA